rnacentral:lncRNA from 1 species
GAAACUGAGGUCUGGAAAGGGACUUGCCCUGUCAUCAGUUAAAUUUUUUUUUUUUAAUGACUCAGGGUUAUCAUGAUGGCAAAUAAUUCCUCAAUCUAAUGGUCCUUUGCUUUCACCAUAAUAUUAAUGAGCCAUUCUUCUUAAAAAAUGACUCACCAAGAGCAGAGCAGACUGACCAGCAGCUUUUGGGACUGCACUGAAACCUUCCCACUCCAACCACAGCCAAUUUAUAACCAGUCUGUGCUACAGACCACUCACACUUGGUCCUGACCCAAGAGGAGCCUUGCCCCAAUCAGAAUGGAAUAACCAGCUGGGAAAACUCAGGCUAAACAGAGAUGAAACAAGGAAAAGGAGCUUGGAUGAUUUGGAACACAAGCAUCCUGAAUACCAAUCCUUUAUGAAUCCCAAAUUGCCAGGCAUUCCUUUGAUUUUGAAACUCAAAGGUGGGGAGAUUGAAAACAGGAGUCCUUUCCUUCUGGAAAUGCAUUGUCUCUUUAUUCUGCUGUGGUGCAUCAGAGAUGGUGAGUUUUGUGAAUGUGGAAAAGGAGAGACAGAAAGGUUUGUGUAUUGCCUGUAAAAGGAGUUCCAACUCCUCUCUAAUAAUCAACCAAGGGAAAUGCUGGAAAUAUUCCUGAUUUCCUGGAUUCAUUGCUUCCAACCCUCAGGAUACAAAGUGCCUAGAUGUGAACAAGUAGAAUGAGCCUUUGGCUGGACCGUCCUGGCCUGCCACUCACUGUGGCAGGGAGGAAUCAGGACUGGUGCAACCUCAGGCAGGAGCUGAGAUUCCCUGUUCUUUGGGCCACUAGUUUGGGUUGGGGAAGAUGGGAAGGGAACAGCCAGGUAAAGCAGUUCAAAAAUUCUUAAGCAGGGAGGAAGGCAGGAAGCAAGGUGGCACUAUGAUCUAGUGGUGCUGCUCAAACUUUAAUGUGCAUAUAAAUUACUUGGGGAUCUGCUAAAUUGAGAUUUUGAUCCAGUAGACUUAAAGUGGGGCCUAAGAUUCUGCAUUUCUACCUAGCUCACAGGUAGUGCUGAUGCUGCUGGUCCAUGGAGCAGUAAAGCUCUUAAAGAAACUGAAGCCUCAGAGGCCCCAGAAUGUUGCAGACCAAGCCAUGAUCCCAGGAUGUGAAUUCUCUCCAGCAGAGCAGAUCCUGUAUUUUUGGCAUUGAUGAAGGGUGCUCUCCAUCUGACCAAAGAAAGCUGGAAGGUGGGCAAUUAGCAAGAUCCUUCUGGUAUUCUUGAUCUUUGUAACAACCUGCUAUAGCUGAAAGAGCAUUUUUAAUUAGACCAAAUUAUCUAGUUUGGCUGUCCAUAGAAAUCAAAGCCCCAGCUGAAAUGUCUGUUUCAUUUUGUUGGUGUAGAGAUGGCUAUGUGCUGGGAUUUUUAAGAAGUUAAGCACUGCCUACCGGCAUAUUUUAUGGAGAAAUAAACACACAGCCCAAUGAGAUGUAUGGUGUGCU